rnacentral:rRNA from 1 species
GACGAACCGUGCGAACGUUAUUCGGAAUCACUGGGCUUAAAGCGCGUGUAGGCGGGACGGCACGUCGGUCGUUGAAAUCCCCCGGCUCAACCGGGGAACGGGCGCCGAUACGACCGUCCUGGAGGGACGUAGGGGGACCUGGAACUUCCGGUGGAGCGGUGAAAUGCGUUGAGAUCGGAAGGAACGCCCGUGGCGAAAGCGAGGUCCUGGACGUUUUCUGACGCUGAGACGCGAAAGCCAGGGGAGCGAACAGG